rnacentral:rRNA from 1 species
CCUACGGGAGGCAGCAGUGGGGAAUAUUGCACAAUGGGGGAAACCCUGAUGCAGCGACGCCGCGUGAGUGAAGAAGUAAUUCGGUAUGUAAAGCUCUAUCAGCAGGGAAGAAAAUGACGGUACCUGAGUAAUAAGCACCGGCUAACUACGUGCCAGCAGCCGCGGUAAUACGGAGGGGGCAAGCGUUAUCCGGAUUAACUGGGUGUAAAGGGAGCGUAGACGGCAGUGCAAGUCUGAAGUGAAAGGCGGGGGCUCAACCCCCGGACUGCUUUGGAAACUGUACGGCUGGAGUGCAGGAGAGGUAAGUGGAAUUCCUAGUGUAGCGGUGAAAUGCGUAGAUAUUAGGAGGAACACCAGUGGCGAAGGCGGCUUACUGGACUGUAACUGACGUUGAGGCUCGAAAGCGUGGGGAGCAAACAGGAUUAGAUACCCUGGUAGUC